rnacentral:rRNA from 1 species
ACAGAGACUGCAAGCGUUAUUCGGAUUCACUGGGCGUAAAGGGUGCGCAGGCGGCCGAGUGUGUGAGGCGGGAAAGCCCGGGGCUUAACCCCGGAAUAGCACCCAAAACUACAAGGCUAGAGCAUUGGAGAGGGUAGCAGAAUUCAUGGUGUAGCAGUGAAAUGCGUAGAUAUCAUGAGGAAUACCAGAGGCGAAGGCGGCUACCUGGACAAUUGCUGACGCUCAGGCACGAAAGCGUGGGGAGCAAAAGGGA